rnacentral:rRNA from 1 species
CUGGAGAAUUGAGGGGGGCUGCUCCUAGUACGAGAGGACCGGAGUGGACGCAUCACUGGUGUUCGGGUUGUCAUGCCAAUGGCACUGCCCGGUAGCUAAAUGCGGAAGAGAUAAGUGCUGAAAGCAUCUAAGCACGAAACUUGCCCCGAGAUGAGUUCUCCCUGAGACUAUAAGUCUCCUGAAGGAACGUUAAAGACGAUGACGUUGAUAGGCCGGGUGUGUAAGCGCAGCGAUGCGUUGAGCUAACCGGUACUAAUGAACCGUGAGGCUUAACCUUACAACGCCGAAG